GCUGUCAAAAAGCCUCAGAUCAGAGACAGAAACUCAGGUGCAGGAAUUUUCACUAAGUCCCUGAGAUCUGAUGGUUUUGGGAAAGUUUGUGGCCUUGUAUCUUCUAGAGUUUAAAUCCUUUUGCUGUGAUUCUUGCUGGUGCUUGUAGUGUUCUUAGUUGGAAACAGCCACAUAUAUUAUUUGUCAUGUUUGAAGGCUUGUACCUAUGUUGCAUCUAGCUCCCAAAUAGCUAAGAUGCAGAUUAUGGCAGAUUAUGUAG
rnacentral:lncRNA from 1 species